rnacentral:rRNA from 1 species
UAAGCGGAGGAAAAGAAACUAACAAGGAUUCCCCUAGUAACGGCGAGUGAAGCGGGAAGAGCUCAAAUUUGAAAUCUGGCAGUCUUCGAUUGUCCGAGUUGUAAUCUAUAGAGGCGUUUUCCGUGCCGGACCGUGUCCAAGUCUCCUGGAAAGGAGUAUCAAAGAGGGUGAUAAUCCCGUACUUAACACGAUAACCGGUGCUCUGUGAUACGUCUUCUACGAGUCGAGUUGUUUGGGAAUGCAGCUCAAAAUGGGUGGUGAAUUCCAUCUAAAGCUAAAUAUUGGCGAGAGACCGAUAGCGAACAAGUACCGUGAGGGAAAGAUGAAAAGCACUUUGGAAAGAGAGUUAAACAGUACGUGAAAUUGUUGAAAGGGAAACGAUUGAAGUCAGUCGUGUUCUUUGGAUUCAGCCAGUUCUGCUGGUCUACUUCCUUAGAACGGGUCAACAUCAGUUUUGUCCGGUGGAUAAAGGUAGUAGGAAUGUAGCUUCUUUGAAGUGUUAUAGCCUAUUGCCACAUACACUGGGUGAGACUGAGGACUGCAGCUCGCCUUUAUGGCCGGUCUUCGGACACGUUCGAGCUUAGGAUGUUGACAUAAUGGCUUUAAACGACCCGUCUUGAAACACG